GGGGAAAAAGAAGGCAGAGGAAGUAUGGGGAUAAACACACUAACAUGAUGUCAUUCAAGAUGAGGCCUGCCUGUUUGCUUUUAGCUGCUCACACCCAAAUUGAUCAAAGACAUUGAACAGUACCAGGUUCAUUGGCUUUGCUCAGGCUCGAAGCCGAGUGGAGUUGCUUGCCUUGGUAUCAGGGGUGGCCAUUAGUCUGGUCCUUGCCGCUUCACUGCAUGCCGGGCAGCUUGGGUGGCUGUCCCCAUGUGUGGUUUUAACACAUGUGGACCGAUGGGCUUCUGUCUCAGUAGUCUGCUCGCGUGGUGUGUUGACUGUUUCUUCUCUCUGUGUAGCUUUGGUGUGAAGCUUAUGGACUUCCAGGCCCACCGGCGGGGUGGCACUCUAAAUAGAAAGCACAUAUCCCCCGCUUUCCAGCCGCCACUUCCGCCCACAGAUGGCAGCACCGUGGUGCCCGCUGGCCCAGAGCCCCCUCCCCAGAGCUCUAGGGCUGAAAGCAGCUCUGGGGGUGGGACUGUCCCCUCCUCCGCGGGCAUACUGGAGCAGGGGCCGAGCCCAGGCGAUGGCAGUCCUCCCAAACCGAAGGACCCUGUAUCUGCAGCUGUGCCAGCACCAGGGAGAAACAACAGUCAGAUAGCCUCUGGCCAAAACCAGCCCCAGGCAGCUGCUGGCUCCCACCAGCUCUCUGUGGGCCAACCUCACAAUGCUGCAGGGCCCAGCCCGCAUACACUGCGCAGAGCUGUUAAAAAACCCGCUCCAGCACCUCCGAAACCAGGCAACCCACCUCCUGGACACCCCGGGGGCCAGAGUUCUUCAGGAACAUCUCAGCAUCCACCCAGUCUGUCACCAAAGCCACCCACCCGAAGCCCCUCUCCUCCCACCCAGCACACGGGCCAGCCUCCAGUCCAGCCCUCCGCCCCCUCCCAGCUCUCAGCACCCCGGAGGUACUCCAGCAGCCUGUCUCCAAUCCAAGCUCCCAAUCACCCGCCGCCGCAGCCCCCUACGCAGGCCACGCCACUGAUGCACACCAAACCCAAUAGCCAGGGCCCUCCCAACCCCAUGGCAUUGCCCAGUGAGCAUGGACUUGAGCAGCCAUCUCACACCCCUCCCCAGACUCCAACGCCUCCCAGUACUCCGCCCCUAGGAAAACAGAACCCCAGUCUGCCAGCUCCUCAGACCCUGGCGGGGGGUAACCCUGAGACUGCACAGCCACAUGCUGGAACCUUACCGAGACCGAGACCAGUACCAAAGCCAAGGCACCGGCCCAGCGUGCCCCCCCCCCCCAACCUCCUGGUGUCCACUCAGCUGGGGACAGCAGCCUCACCAGCACAGCACCAACAGCUUCCAAGAUAGUAACAGACUCCAAUUCCAGGGUUUCAGAACCGCAUCGCAGCAUCUUUCCUGAAAUGCACUCAGACUCAGCUAGCAAAGACGUGCCUGGCCGCAUCCUGCUGGAUAUAGACAAUGACACCGAGAGCACUGCCCUGUGAAGAAAGCCCUCUCCCAGCCCUCCACCCCUUCCACCCUGGUGAGUGGAGCAGGGGCAGGCGAACCUCUUCCUUUGCAGACCAAACAGUGAAAAGCUUUCAGUGGAGGACAAAGGAGGGCCUCACUGUGCGGGACCUGGCCUUCUGCACGGCCCAAGGAGAACCUGGAGGCCACCACUAAAGCUGAAUGACCUGUGUCUUGAAGAAGUUGGCUUUCUUUACGUGGGAAGGAAAUCAUGCCAAAAAAAUCCAAAACAAAGAAAUAGCUGGAGUGGAGAGAGUAUUCCUGCUGAAACGCGCGUAGGAAGCUUUUGUCCCUCUGUUAAUGUGGGCAGCACCUACAGGAACUUGGAGUGAGUAAGAAGCAGUGCGUUAACUAUCUAUUUAAUAAAAUGCGCUCGUUAUGCAAGUCGCCUACUCUCUGCUACCUGGACGUUCAUUCUUAUGUAUUAGGAGGGAGGCCGCUCUCCUUCAGACUUGCUGCAGAAUCAUUUUGUAUCAUGUAUGGUCUGUGUCUCCCCAGUCCCCUCAGAACCAUGCCCAUGGAUGGUGACUGCUGGCUCUGUCACCUCGUCAAACUGGAUGUGACCCAUGCCGCCUUGUUGGAUUGUCGGAAUCUAGGCAGAAAUGUACUGUUCUUUUUUUUUUUUUUUUAAACAAUGUAAUUGCUACUUGAUAAGGACCGAACAUUAUUCUAGUUUCAUGUUUAAUUUGAAUUAAAUAUAUUCUGUGGUUUA
rnacentral:sRNA from 1 species